UGAUGGAUUUUUAAUCUCAUUCAAAGUCUACACCGUCUGUGGAGAGCCGGUGAAAUGCUUUGUUGUUCCAUCCAAAUCCCCGACGGCCGCUGUCGAACCUCCAGCGCACGGCCCAAACCGGCGUCACCUCUGCAGUUAACUGAGCAAAUAUUACAGGAUCCAUUUGCACAGGGAUGCGCUCCGGCAGGUCCAGCCCGCUCGCCGCGUGUUUGCUCAUCCCGGGGGAGCCCAUCCGGCACUUUGAAUGCUUCCCCCACACAACACCUCUAACCGAGCAGGAGCAAUCUGAUCCCCCAGCUGGAGUGAUGGCUUGGGGCAGCACAGCCCAGGUGAGCCACCAAUGUUUCAAAUCCAAGACGGCAAAGAUGGAAUGCAUCCUCCGGCCUGCGGCUCCUCCUCUCGACCACCCUUCCCCGACAUCCCUGCCACACCCUCGUCAUCUCCUCUUCACCCUGUUUCUGGAGCCUGGGCUGCAGAGGGCCGUCACUCCUGAGCAGCGCAGAAAGGCUAUCCAUGGUGGGCAUCGGGAGGACUCCUGGCUUAGCUAGUUUCUAGAACCUUCCUUGUGUGGCAGGCCCCAGACAGCAUUAGAGCCGCUCUCUGAUGGCAACUACUCCCCAGAUCUCUUGGGUGAUCUGAGAUCAUCAUGUAAGUGGUGGCAAUGAGUGUCCAAGUAACUUCUGAACCUGCUUCCUCCCCGAUAAGCAGGAAUUGAUAACAGAACCUAUGUCUUUGGGGCACCUGGCUGGCUCAGUUGGUUAUGCAUCUGACUUUGGCUCAGGUCAUGAUCCCGAGGUCCUGGGAUUGAGCCCCACAUCAAGCCCCACGUCAAACUCCGAGUUGAGCCUGGGGGGUUCCCUGCUUAGCAUGGAAGUCUGCUUGUCCCUCUGCCCCUCCUCCUGCUUGUGCUCUCUCUCUCUCUCUCAAGCAAAUUAUUAAAAUCUUUUUUUUUAAAGAACCUCGUCUUUAGGGUUUUUACAACAAUUAAAGGAGAUUAUUCUUAUAAAACACCCAGCAGAGACUUAGGUACAGAGA
rnacentral:lncRNA from 1 species